GCAAUAAUGGUCAAGGGGUUACGAUACGGUCCUCCCAAGACCGUGACCCGGGUUCGAAUCCCGGUUAUUGCA
rnacentral:tRNA from 1 species